rnacentral:miRNA from 1 species
GUGUAUGUGUAUUUAUAUGUAUAUAUAUGUGUGUGUAUGUAUAUAUGUGUGUAUAUAUAUAUAUAUAUAUAUAUAUGCAUAUAUAUACACACACACAUAUAUAUAUAUAUAUAUAUAUACA